rnacentral:tRNA from 1 species
GGGGUUGUGGCUCAGUGGCAGAGCGCUUGCCUAGCAUGCAUGAGGCACUGGGUUCAAUCCCCGACGCCA